AUUGAACGCUGGCGGCAGGCCUUACACAUGCAAGUCGAACGGCAGCACGGGUAGUGGCACCUGGUGGGGGUGGCCGCUGGCGGGCGGAAGAGAUCGACACAGGUCCCUUCUUGGGGGAUGGGGCUGCCAAAGGCGAAUUAACACCGCAUACGCACAACAGAUAAAAGCGAAGGCCGGGCAUGCUUCGCCCUUGAGCGUUUGCAUGUGGCGAAUUAGGAUUAGCUAGUUGGCGGGGUAAACGCCUACCAAGGCGACGAUCAGUAGCUGGUCUGAGAGGAUGAUCAGCCACACUGGAACUGAGACACGGCCCAGACUCCUACGGGAGGCAGCAGUGGGGAAUUUUGGACAAUGGGCGCAAGCCUGAUCCAGCAAUACCGCGUGUGUGAAGAAGGCCUUCGGGUUGUAAAGCCCUUUUGUCCGGAAAGAAAUCCAGGGCGCUAAUACGGUGGGGGGAUGACGGUACCCAAAGAAUAAGCACCGGCUAACUACGUG
rnacentral:rRNA from 1 species